GGCUCUAAUACCAUGUGUAACAGACCAAGUCCACCGCCAGUAGAUAUUGUCCUCUUUGGGCUUUCCCUUUUGGGUUUCCCCUCAAGGUUCUUAAAACGUGUUUGCUAG